rnacentral:rRNA from 2 species
UCAAGUGAAGAAGCGCAUACGGUGGAUGCCUUGGCAGUCAGAGGCGAUGAAAGACGUGGUAGCCUGCGAAAAGCUUCGGGGAGUCGGCAAACAGACUGUGAUCCGGAGAUGUCUGAAUGGGGGAACCCAGCCAUCAUAAGAUGGUUAUCUUACACUGAAUACAUAGGUGUAAGAGGCGAACCAGGGGAACUGAAACAUCUAAGUACCCUGAGGAAAAGAAAUCAACCGAGAUUCCCUUAGUAGUGGCGAGCGAACGGGGACCAGCCCUUAAGUUGUAUUGAGAUUAGCGGAACGCUCUGGAAAGUGCGGCCAUAGUGGGUGAUAGCCCUGUACGCGAAAAUCCCUUUGCAAUGAAAUCGAGUAGGACGGGGCACGAGAAACCUUGUCUGAAUAUGGGGGGACCAUCCUCCAAGGCUAAAUACUACUGACUGACCGAUAGUGAACCAGUACCGUGAGGGAAAGGCGAAAAGAACCGCGGAGAGCGGAGUGAAAUAGAUCCUGAAACCGUAUGCGUACAAGCAGUGGGAGCCCACUUUGUUGGGUGACUGCGUACCUUUUGUAUAAUGGGUCAGCGACUUAUUUUCAGUGGCGAGCUUAACCGAAUAGGGGAGGCGUAGCGAAAGCGAGUCUUAAUAGGGCGUCUAGUCGCUGGGAAUAGACCCGAAACCGGGCGAUCUAUCCAUGGGCAGGUUGAAGGUUGGGUAACACUAACUGGAGGACCGAACCGACUACCGUUGAAAAGUUAGCGGAUGACCUGUGGAUCGGAGUGAAAGGCUAAUCAAGCUCGGAGAUAGCUGGUUCUCCUCGAAAGCUAUUUAGGUAGCGCCUCAUGUAUCACUGUAGGGGGUAGAGCACUGUUUCGGCUAGGGGGUCAUCCCGACUUACCAAACCGAUGCAAACUCCGAAUACCUACAAGUGCCGAGCAUGGGAGACACACGGCGGGUGCUAACGUCCGUCGUGAAAAGGGAAACAACCCAGACCGUCAGCUAAGGUCCCAAAGUCAUGGUUAAGUGGGAAACGAUGUGGGAAGGCUUAGACAGCUAGGAGGUUGGCUUAGAAGCAGCCACCCUUUAAAGAAAGCGUAAUAGCUCACUAGUCGAGUCGGCCUGCGCGGAAGAUGUAACGGGGCUCAAACCAUGCACCGAAGCUACGGGUAUCAUCUUUUGAUGAUGCGGUAGAGGAGCGUUCUGUAAGCCUGUGAAGGUGAGUUGAGAAGCUUGCUGGAGGUAUCAGAAGUGCGAAUGCUGACAUGAGUAACGACAAUGGGUGUGAAAAACACCCACGCCGAAAGACCAAGGUUUCCUGCGCAACGUUAAUCGACGCAGGGUUAGUCGGUCCCUAAGGCGAGGCUGAAAAGCGUAGUCGAUGGAAAACAGGUUAAUAUUCCUGUACUUCUGGUUAUUGCGAUGGAGGGACGGAGAAGGCUAGGCCAGCCUGGCGUUGGUAGUCCAGGUUUAAGGUGGUAGGCUGAGAUCUUAGGUAAAUCCGGGAUCUUAAGGCCGAGAGCUGAUGACGAGUGUUCUUUUAGAACAUGAAGUGGUUGAUGCCAUGCUUCCAAGAAAAGCUUCUAAGCUUCAGGUAACCAGGAACCGUACCCCAAACCGACACAGGUGGUUGGGUAGAGAAUACCAAGGCGCUUGAGAGAACUCGGGUGAAGGAACUAGGCAAAAUGGCACCGUAACUUCGGGAGAAGGUGCGCCGGUGAGGGUGAAGCAUUUACUGCGUAAGCCCACGCCGGUCGAAGAUACCAGGCCGCUGCGACUGUUUAUUAAAAACACAGCACUCUGCAAACACGAAAGUGGACGUAUAGGGUGUGACGCCUGCCCGGUGCCGGAAGGUUAAUUGAUGGGGUUAGCGCAAGCGAAGCUCUUGAUCGAAGCCCCGGUAAACGGCGGCCGUAACUAUAACGGUCCUAAGGUAGCGAAAUUCCUUGUCGGGUAAGUUCCGACCUGCACGAAUGGCGUAACGAUGGCGGCGCUGUCUCCACCCGAGACUCAGUGAAAUUGAAAUCGCUGUGAAGAUGCAGUGUAUCCGCGGCUAGACGGAAAGACCCCGUGAACCUUUACUAUAGCUUUGCACUGGACUUUGAAUUUGCUUGUGUAGGAUAGGUGGGAGGCUUUGAAGCGUGGACGCCAGUCUGCGUGGAGCCAACCUUGAAAUACCACCCUGGCAACUUUGAGGUUCUAACUCAGGUCCGUUAUCCGGAUCGAGGACAGUGUAUGGUGGGUAGUUUGACUGGGGCGGUCUCCUCCUAAAGAGUAACGGAGGAGUACGAAGGUGCGCUCAGACCGGUCGGAAAUCGGUCGUAGAGUAUAAAGGCAAAAGCGCGCUUGACUGCGAGACAGACACGUCGAGCAGGUACGAAAGUAGGUCUUAGUGAUCCGGUGGUUCUGUAUGGAAGGGCCAUCGCUCAACGGAUAAAAGGUACUCCGGGGAUAACAGGCUGAUACCGCCCAAGAGUUCAUAUCGACGGCGGUGUUUGGCACCUCGAUGUCGGCUCAUCACAUCCUGGGGCUGAAGCCGGUCCCAAGGGUAUGGCUGUUCGCCAUUUAAAGUGGUACGCGAGCUGGGUUUAGAACGUCGUGAGACAGUUCGGUCCCUAUCUGCCGUGGACGUUUGAGAUUUGAGAGGGGCUGCUCCUAGUACGAGAGGACCGGAGUGGACGAACCUCUGGUGUUCCGGUUGUCACGCCAGUGGCAUUGCCGGGUAGCUAUGUUCGGAAAAGAUAACCGCUGAAAGCAUCUAAGCGGGAAACUUGCCUCAAGAUGAGAUCUCACUGGAACCUUGAGUUCCCUGAAGGGCCGUCGAAGACUACGACGUUGAUAGGUUGGGUGUGUAAGCGCUGUGAGGCGUUGAGCUAACCAAUACUAAUUGCCCGUGAGGCUUGACCAU